rnacentral:tRNA from 1 species
GCGCUCGUAGCUCAAUUGGAUAGAGCAUCUGAUUACGGAUCAGAAGGUUGGGGGUUCGAGUCCCUUCGAGCGCG